rnacentral:rRNA from 1 species
UAGUGAGUUUGAUCCUGGCUCAGGAUAAACGCUGGCGGUCUGCUUAACACAUGCAAGUCGAACGCAAGUAGAAAUACUUGAGUGGCGGACGGGUGAGUAACACGUGAGUAAUCUGCCCCUGGCUUUGGGAUAGCCACCGGAAACGGUGAUUAAUACCGGAUAUGACCACUUCGCGCAUGUGAUGGUGGUGGAAAGUUUUUCGGUCUGGGAUGGACUCGCGGCCUAUCAGCUUGUGGUGAGGUAAUGGCUCACCAAGGCGUCGAC